rnacentral:tRNA from 1 species
AAGGGAGACCUAAUUCGGGUAGAAGACGAAAAAAUAGUAGUCGAAACCAAGAAUCAAUCCCAAAAGGUCGGAACGAGGUAUGUGGCUUUCAAACUAGGUUCUGGGUUCACAAAAGACCUGAAUCAGGAACAAGGGCUAUUAGCUCAGGUGGUUAGAGCGCACCCCUGAUAAGGGUGAGGUCCCUGGUUCGAGUCCAGGAUGGCCCACCUGCACAGGUGGCAAAAACAAGAGAAACGAGGAAUCAGCACCUUAUCUUACUUACAUAGUAAGAGAGAAUGCUGGCUCUGAGUAAAGAGUCCAGAGGAACCUUGAAAACUGCAUAGAGCUAGGUGAAAAAGCCAAAAAAGGAGACCGCAA